AUGGCCAGAACGGCUGGGGAUGGCCCAGGCCCGAGCCAGGAGCCAGGAGCUUCUUCCAGGACUCCCCCACUGGUGCAGGGAACAAGCUCUUGGCCCAUCCUCUGCUGCUCUCCCAGGUGCGUUAGCAGGGAGCUGGAUCGGAAGUGGAGCAGCUGGGACUCCAACCAGAGCCCACAUGGGAUGCAGGCGGCAGUGAAACCCACGGGACACAGCCAGCCCCUUGUAUUUUACUUGCUCUUUCUUUGGCUUUUUCUUUUUGGAUCCCUGUUCACACUGGCUGGGACCUGCAGCACGGCAUGGAGCAGUGGUGACAGUGGACCCUCUUUGGCAGGCACCGUUUCUCAGCCAACCAAGGGGAAAGGCCCUAAUCAGGCGAUCGAGGUUUCUCAGCCUCAGCAGACUGGCGUUCCAGGCCGUCGCGUGCGUCAGCAGCAGUCUGGGAGGACAAGGAUGCACAUAUGGGGGCCACGGGGAGGUGCCAAAGCCUCUGGGGACAAGCUCACAGGUGACGAGGCAAAUGCACUGUGGUCCAAGGGGGAGCAGGACGAGACGGAGAAAGACGAGGCCGAAAAAAUUUAA
rnacentral:lncRNA from 1 species